rnacentral:rRNA from 1 species
GAGACACGGCCCAGACUCCUACGGGAGGCAGCAGUGGGGAAUAUUGCACAAUGGGCGCAAGCCUGAUGCAGCGACGCCGCGUGAGGGAUGGAGGCCUUCGGGUUGUAAACCUCUUUUAUCGGGGAGCAAGCGAGAGUGAGUUUACCCGUUGAAUAAGCACCGGCUAACUACGUGCCAGCAGCCGCGGUAAUACGUAGGGUGCAAGCGUUAUCCGGAAUUAUUGGGCGUAAAGGGCUCGUAGGCGGUUCGUCGCGUCCGGUGUGAAAGUCCAUCGCUUAACGGUGGAUCCGCGCCGGGUACGGGCGGGCUUGAGUGCGGUAGGGGAGACUGGAAUUCCCGGUGUAACGGUGGAAUGUGUAGAUAUCGGGAAGAACACCAAUGGCGAAGGCAGGUCUCUGGGCCGUUACUGACGCUGAGGAGCGAAAGCGUGGGGAGCGAACAGGAUUAGAUACCCUGGUAGUCCACGCCGUAAACGGUGGAUGCUGGAUGUGGGGCCCGUUCCACGGGUUCCGUGUCGGAGCUAACGCGUUAAGCAUCCCGCCUGGGGAGUACGGCCGCAAGGCUAAAACUCAAAGAAAUUGACGGGGGCCCGCACAAGCGGCGGAGCAUGCGGAUUAAUUCGAUGCAACGCGAAGAACCUUACCUGGGCUUGACAUGUUCCCGACGGUCGUAGAGAUACGGCUUCCCUUCGGGGCGGGUUCACAGGUGGUGCAUGGUCGUCGUCAGCUCGUGUCGUGAGAUGUUGGGUUAAGUCCCGCAACGAGCGCAACCCU